rnacentral:rRNA from 1 species
UGGGGAAUAUUGCGCAAUGGAGGAAACUCUGACGCAGCGACGCCGCGUGGGUGAUGAAGGCCUUCGGGUUGUAAAGCCCUGUCGAAUGGGAAAAAGGUAGUCGUGCUAAUACCACGAUUGCUUGAUGGUACCAUUAAAGGAAGCACCGGCUAACUCUGUGCCAGCAGCCGCGGUAAUACAGAGGGUGCAAGCGUUGUUCGGAAUUACUGGGCGUAAAGGGCGCGUAGGCGGUUUGGUAAGUCAGAUGUGAAAGCCCGGGGCUUAACCCCGGAAGUGCAUUUGAAACUACCAGGCUAGAGUGCAGUAGAGAAUGGCGGAAUUCCCAGUGGAGAGGUGAAAUUCGUAGAUAUUGGGAGGAACACCGGUGGCGAAGGCGGUCAUUUGGGCUGUAACUGACGCU